UUGAUCCUGGCUCAGAUUGAACGCUGGCGGCAUGCCUUACACAUGCAAGUCGAACGGCAGCACGGGAGCAAUCCUGGUGGCGAGUAGCGAACGGGUGAGUAAAGUAUCGGAACGUGCCCAGUCGUGGGGGAUAACGUAGCGAAAGCUACGCUAAUACCGCAUACGAUCUAUGGAUGAAAGCGGGGGAUCGCAAGACCUCGCGCGAUUGGAGCGGCCGAUAUCAGAUUAGGUAGUUGGUGGGGUAAAGGCCUACCAAGCCGACGAUCUGUAGCUGGUCUGACAGGACGACCAGCCACACUGGGACUG
rnacentral:rRNA from 1 species